UUGUAUUUUCCUUUGCUGACAAAUUUAGGAUUCUAAUUCAUUGCAAUGACUCAUGGUAUUUAUUUUAGAAAUGUGCUGUUUAGACAUAGAGUUUGCAGGAAUUUCUUAGACUAGCUGUUCCCAACAAUUGCACUGAUACUGAGGAUUAUAAUGUGGGCAGUCUUCAUCUUCAAUUUUGAUAAUGUUAAAUGUUUAUUUUUUUCCCCUCCAGGUUCAGUGAGUUUUCUUGAAUGAAAAUUCAGGAAUGAUCAAGCAGGAGAUCUCCCAAGAACCUCUUGAGGUCUCUCCUCCAUUUGCUGCCCCUGCUGCUGAUGACUUGGCGUCCGAGGGAGAGGAGCCCUGCCUACCUCUGGAAGAAGAAAUCAUCUCACACAAGCAUUGGAGUUCUGUGGCAAAGAAAGAAAAUUCAGCUCUCCUGGAAGAAGCCAUUAGAAAUAAUUCGCUGCAGAUUGAUCCCAGGAUGGCUGAAUAGGGAAAAGACAUGUUGAUUUUGACCAGGGAAAGAUAACAUAAGAAAAGUGGAGGAGGUACAUUUGCAGGGGGUGAGUCAAAGAGAAUUUUGCAUGGAAAUUCUACAUAAAGAAGAGAGAUACCAGGACGGGUGUGUAAAGCUGCCGCCAGCAUUGCCGGCAUCCAAUAUGGAUGCUCGUCUGAGACCCAGCUUCUUCACUUCUGAUCCAGCUCUCUGCUAUGGCCUGGGAAAGCAGUAGAAGAUGGUCCAAGUCCUUGGGCCCUUUCCCCUAUGUGGGAGACUUGGAAGAACCUCCUGGCUUCGGAUCAGUGUAGCUCUGUUGCAGCCAACUGGGGAGUGAACCAGCGAUGGAAGACCUCUCUCUCUCUCUGCCUCUGCCUCUCUGUAACUCUGCCUAUAAGUGAAUAAAUCUUUUUUUUUUUAAAGAAAUCA
rnacentral:lncRNA from 1 species